CAGUGGGGAAUAUUGCACAAUGGGGGAAACCCUGAUGCAGCGACGCAGCGUGCGGGAUGACGGCCUUCGGGUUGUAAACCGCUUUCAGCAGGGAAGAAGCGAAAGUGACGGUACCUGCAGAAGAAGUACCGGCUAACUACGUGCCAGCAGCCGCGGUAAUACGUAGGGUACGAGCGUUGUCCGGAAUUAUUGGGCGUAAAGAGCUCGUAGGUGGUUGGUCACGUCUGCUGUGGAAACGCAACGCUUAACGUUGCGCGGGCAGUGGGUACGGGCUGACUAGAGUGCAGUAGGGGAGUCUGGAAUUCCUGGUGUAGCGGUGAAAUGCGCAGAUAUCAGGAGGAACACCGGUGGCGAAGGCGGGACUCU
rnacentral:rRNA from 1 species